CCUUUGGCUAAAUACCCAAAAGCAGGGUUGCUGGGUCAUAGUGGAGCUCUAUGUUUACCCUUUUGAGGAAUCUCCAUUCUGCUUUCCUGACUGAUUGAACAAGUUUACACUCACAUUAACAGUGUAGUAGUGCUCCCUUUUAACCACAUCCCCUCCAGAAUCUCUUGAAACUUAUUUU